UCCUACCUCGGGACCAUGUUUGGGAACAUUCAUCUCGUCUGCAUGAAAGCACUGGCAUCAUCUAGUGGUUGUUUUUAACGAUUCAGACGAUUAUCCAGUGUGCCGCUAGAUGAUGUUGGUAUUGUUUUUUAAAAUGGCGAAAUGUGUUAAAAGUUAUGUCAUCUUCUGUAUUCGAAUUUUCAAUGUUUUACUGCCCAAAAUCAAACAAUUAUUUACAUACAAUGUACCUGCCGUCUAGUCAUCAGAUUAAAUGUGGACCCCAUUUAAAGAAAAAAUUGAUCAGCACUUCCUAAACUCACAGCUUCAUCUGCAUCAUCCUCUCACAUCGUAGACAAAACUUCAAGCUGUUUUGCCCAAUAGUUGUGGCAUUGGACCUAUGGUUACAGGUUUGUUCUUGCCUGAAAGAUGUUUACACCUUUGAACACUUGACGGUGUUGUUGCGUCAUGAAAUUGUAUUGCUGCCAUUCCCUGUAUCUCCCACUUCACAGAGCUCUGCAAGAAAUGAGUAAUAGGAAGCCUACAACAGAUUGAGGAAUUAAACAAUUAAUAGGUUCCGUGAUAUGCCAUUGGAUUUCGCGAGUAGCCGCCAAUGUCAAACUACAACGCAGUUUCUUUAUUGGAAUUGUGUGGUCCUGGCACAGAAAUCCUUGAUGCUGGCCUUUGUUCAUAACAGAAGAGUGACUUCUACCACUUUUCUGCUCCAUCCUAAUCUUCGCUACCCACACUCAUCUAGCUUCUCUGCAUAUUAUGCUGCUAAACAAUUUGCCGUACUUCACUGACGAGUUAGACUAGUCGCUUCCGUCCGCAGCGACACAUGUACUGUCACUUACCACGGGAUUAUGCCCAGAUACGGAGGUAAUGCAGAGAAGACGUUGAGAAGAUGGACACCAGAAGGUUGCCGGUAUCUGAAAAAAAUCAACGGAACAGCAGCAGCUUUUUAUUUUUCUUCAUUAUUCGUGGACACCAACUAACAACCUAAGAUGUCUCCCAUCAUGUGGUCAGAGACACGAUCGCUAUGGGUCCCACUACAAGAACUUCCUGGCAGAUUUACGAGCGGUUCAACGUGGAUCAUCAUUUAUUGCUGGUAUAUGUUUUGCUAGUUAACCCGUUGGCUGCCACGCCUUUGUUCUCCCCUAGCUCCUUAGCACGGGCCGCGCUGUUCGUUCUCGUGGUUUACAUGCCGCG